GGGAGCGUAGACGGAAAGGCAAGUCAGAAGUGAAAGCCCAAGGCUCAACCAUGGGACUGCUUUUGAAACUGUCAAACUAGAGUACGGGAGAGGAGAGUGGAAUUCCUAGUGUAGCGGUGAAAUGCGUAGAUAUUAGGAGGAACACCAGUUGCGAAGGCGGCUCUCUGGACUGUAACUGACACUGAGGCACGAAAGCGUGGGGAGCA
rnacentral:rRNA from 1 species